GACCAAGAUCGUGUUUGACGCUCCGACGAAGAUCGUGUCUGCAAUCGCUGUGAUUUGUGGUGUGGACUAAGUCGGCUUUGAGCAGGAUCUAUGGAUCGUUUGAGAAGCCGUCGGAGAAGAAGAAGGGGUAUGUGCUUCCCAGGGCUGAUGGUGAAGAUGGUGAAAACUGUCACCGUGAGAAGACUUGGAAGAAGAGGUUUUUCUGUGGGCAUCUUACAGAAGCCAAAUACUGACCAAAACUGUGCGAGGCAUGAUGUAUUACCGAAAGGCUUUGGAGCUCCAGGCCUUCCUUGAUAUGGCAAAGGAUGAAGAAUUAAUGAAAGGGUACAAGGCUCUCGAGUUAACUAGCGAAGACGCCUCAAAGAGCGGAAAGUCACUCGGGGCUCAGUGUCAAGUCACUUCUUGUUCUCUCUGAACCACAGAGAGGAAAGCCUGUUUUGUUGGUGUCUCUUCUUGAGAGAGCUGCUGAAGUAGUGAAAAACUCGAAUGAUGGACUGUGGAGAGCCUCGUUUGAUGAGUUUUUCACACUUCUUACCAAAUAUUGUAGGAGCAAGUAUGAGACUAUACAUGGACAGAACCAGGAGAAUGCAGCAGCUGAGGUGUUCGAGGCAGCUAUAAAGAGGGAGAUGCCUGCUGAGAUUUUGCGUGCGAGCCUGCGUCAUACGAGUGAAGACCAGCAGAACUUUUUAUUAAACUUUGGUCGUAAAGGUUUUUCUUCACCGCCUGUGAGCGAGUUGAAAACCGGUGCAAGGAGUAGCCAGGUGAACUCUGAGUCUGUCAGGGAUUAACUUUAACAUGGGAGGUCUGUGGAUCAAGCAUGGAGAACGUGUGAGUUGCUGGUGUAGGAAUCUUUCACAAGCUUCAGGUGAUGAAUGUUGUUUUCUUUUCUUUUUUAGAUUGUACGUUUUAGAUCUCUUUAAACUUAUGGUUGCGUGUGAAAGGAUGGGGAAAGAAACAUUGAAAGUGGGAGUUGGUCGGGAGAGCUGUGUUUUUGGUGCUCUGGUGAUGGAGACUCCUAUCUAUGUGUAGGACUCUUUUAGGGUUUUAGGAGUUUGGAAUGGAGACUAGUGUUUGUGACUCUGUACAGGCUGAUGGUGAGUGGUGAUGACGCAAGAUGAUGAUGGGUUAUGAUGGUUUUGAUGCGUGCGGGAGCUAACAGCUUCUUUAUUGCAGAGAAUGUGGUAAAGGUCAAGAAGAGUGCAAAGUCAUCAGUCAUCAGUCAUCAGUCAUCAGUCAUCAGUCACGGACUUAUGUAGUAAUCACUUGUGUAGGUCAAGAAGAGUGUAAAGUCAUCUUCUGUAUAUCAGUCACGGGCAAUGCUUACGUACUAACUCUUGUAGUCUUGUAUUCUUGCAAACUCUUGUAGUCAUCAGUCAAGAGUUUUGUGAACUCUUGUAGUCUUGUGAACUCUUGUAGUCUUGUCUAUAUAAACUUUGUAUACCAAACUUUUAUUCACAACACAACACUCUUCUUCAUUCA